UACGUAGGGGGCAAGCGUUGUCCGGAAUCAUUGGGCGUAAAGAGCGCGUAGGCGGCCCUGUAAGUCCGCUGUGAAAGUCAAGGGCUCAACCCUUGAAUGCCGGUGGAUACUGCAGGGCUAGAGUCCGGAAGAGGCGAGUGGAAUUCCCGGUGUAGCGGUGAAAUGCGCAGAUAUCGGGAGGAACACCAAUGGCGAAGGCAGCUCGCUGGGACGGUACUGACGCUGAGGCGCGAAAGCGUGGGAG
rnacentral:rRNA from 1 species